UGGGGGAUAUUGCACAAUGGGCGAAAGCCUGAUGCAGCGACGCCGCGUGGGGGAUGAAGGCUUUCGGGUUGUAAACCUCUUUCGCUAUCGAACAAGGCCCGCUUAGGGUUGGUUGAGGGUAGGUGGAGAAGAAGCGCCGGCUAACUACGUGCCAGCAGCCGCGGUAAUACGUAGGGCGCGAGCGUUGUCCGGAAUUAUUGGGCGUAAAGGGCUUGUAGGCGGCUUGUUGCGCCUGCUGUGAAAACGCGGGGCUUAACUUCGCGCGUGCAGUGGGUACGGGCAGGCUUGAGUGUGGUAGGGGUGACUGGAAUUCCAGGUGUAGCGGUGGAAUGCGCAGAUAUCUGGAGGAACACCGAUGGCGAAGGAAGGUCACUGGGCCAUUACUGACGCUGAGGAGCGAAAGCAUGGGUAGCGAACAGG
rnacentral:rRNA from 1 species